rnacentral:rRNA from 1 species
UGAGGAAUUUUCCACAAUGGGCGAAAGCCUGAUGGAGCGACGCCGCGUGUGCGAUGAAGUCUUUCGGGAUGUAAAGCACUGUCAGAGGGGACGAUAUUGACGGUACCCUCAAAGGAAGCCACGGCUAACUACGUGCCAGCAGCCGCGGUAAUACGUAGGUGGCGAGCGUUGUCCGGAAUUAUUGGGCGUAAAGAGCGUGUAGGUGGUUCUAUAAGUCAGGUGUUAAAGCCUCCGGCUCAACCGGAGUUCGCAUUUGAUACUGUAGAACUUGAGAGAUUCAGAAGAAAGCGGAACUUGCGGUGUAGCGGUGAAAUGCGUAGAUAUCGCAAGGAACACCAGUGGCGAAGGCGGCUUUCUAGGAAUUUUCUGACACUGAGACGCGAAAGCUAGGGGAGCAAACGGG